UAUCCUGAAGACGCUUAGAUGUCAAGGAGGGAGUCUUAAAAGAGGACGUCUCACCCAUUGAGAGAUAGCUGGCCAGCCUCACCCUAUAGGGGCAUCUUCUCAUAACCACUUUCGCGCAUCGCCU